CCCACAACAAGCGAUAACAGUCCCAGCAGUCUGGAAAAGCAGAAGUUUGCUUUCGUCUGUACAGUCAAGUCUAGACGGGUGGAAGACAGACGGCCUGCUGAGGCUUUCGGCUAAUGAUUCUGGACUUGCUUCAGUUAAGAAAGACCAAACAGAGAGCUCUGUCUUCCUUCACACUCCUCUGACAGCGCGUUGAGAGGACGGCUCUGUUUCGGCUGUCUCUUAACCUUUGAACCUCUCGCUGUGAAUGUACAGAAAUACAUCACAACAUACUGUCUUCAGGAUGGGAGCCACAUCCUCCUAUUGUUGUUGUUGUAUAAGAGAUCAGAAGCCCACAGAGAAGGAAGCUCUACUGUGCUACACGGCAGUAAAAAACAGACGUAAGAAAGUAUGUUUACAUUGCUUCACGAAUGUGGAUUCUUAGAUAAACCAGUACAAAGACCUCAAACUGCAGAUUCUUGUAUAGUAGCAGACGCUAAAGUUUCCAAGAAAGGAUCAAGGAAACACGCAAAAACGUCAGGUGGGCUCCAGCGCCUUCGUGAAGAGCGAGAGGUCAGGAUUUCCCCUCGUUCUUCCGUCUGAAACUCAACACCGUCCCAACAGGGCCGUUAUCACACAAACAUCUGCAGUCUGAGCAGAUCGAGCCCUGGAACAGAAGCACUGAUGUCCAGCUGGACUGAACGCGAUAGAUUGUUUGUAGCGAGUGAUGACGGGUUACAGACAUCAGGAUACACAGAGAACUCAAUGUUCAGAGAUCCAGAUCAUUAACCCCUGUAACCCUGACUAAAAGAUAAAACUGAACACACUUUAACUACAAUACUACACUUCAUCUAUUUAUUUACUGAUGUUGUGCGUGUCAGAAUGUUUGUUGUGUUUUUAACAUAUAGAAAAAAAAUCUUUAUAGAUUGAUAAUGCACAAUCGCUUACAUUUACUGUACCUACGAAUCAACACAUGACAUUCAGCCUUGCUUUCAGAUAAUGUAUCUUCAGUUGAAGUACAAGCAGAUUUAGUCACUUGUAUUCACUUGUUUAUACCGCAAGAAAUGUAUUACGGAUUCAUUAUG